rnacentral:rRNA from 1 species
UAAAAAUGUAAAGUUUUAACUAAAAAAUUAGUAGUUAUGAUCUUUAAAUUUAAAAAAUUUGGCGGUAUUUUAGUCUAUUCAGAGGAACCUGUUCUAUAAUUGAUAAUCCACGAUUAGAAAUACUUAAUUUAAAAGUUUGUAUAUCGUUGUUUAAAUAAUUUUAUAAGAAAAAUAAUUAUUAAGGUAUUAAAUUAAAUAAAUAAUCAAAUCAAGGUGCAGUUUAUAUUUAAGAAGAAAUGGGUUACAAUAAAAAUUAUUUAUAUGAAUUAUAUUAUUAAAUUAAUAUAUAAAGGAGGAUUUGAUAGUAAAUAUAUAUAUAUAUAUAUAUUGAUUAAAGCUCUAUAAUAUGU